ACCUGAAGUGAGUUUGCUCACCAGUCAUGCAGCAAGCCAAUCUCUGACACCAGGUGUGGUGGAAAAAAGUAGGAAUUUUAUUGCAAAGCGCUGAGCAAGGAGAAUAGGCAGCUAAGGAACUCUCUGAAAAGCUACAAGCAAGGGUUUUUAUUUGGGGUUUUAGGUGGGGGAGGGGGUGCAUGUGGCCUUGGGGUUGAAGUUCUAAGAGUCCCCCGCACAGGCAUGACUGUUUGUUCUAUGUGUUGCACGCAGUGGAUUCUUAGUCUUUGAGGCUAAAGUUUACAAUCAGUCAUUUUAGCUUCUGAAUGCUCCUGCAAGAUGCUUA